rnacentral:rRNA from 1 species
GCCUACCAUGGUUUUAACGGGUAACGGGGAAUUAGGGUUCGAUUCCGGAGAGGGAGCCUGAGAAACGGCUACCACAUCCAAGGAAGGCAGCAGGCGCGCAAAUUACCCAAUCCCGAUACGGGGAGGUAGUGACAAUAAAUAACAAUACAGGGCUCUUAUGGGUCUUGUAAUUGGAAUGAGUACAAUUUAAAUCUCUUAACGAGGAACAAUUGGAGGGCAAGUCUGGUGCCAGCAGCCGCGGUAAUUCCAGCUCCAAUAGCGUAUAUUAAAGUUGUUGCAGUUAAAAAGCUCGUAGUUGAAUUUCGAAAUUUUUUUAUCGGUUGAAUCAACAGGUUCGUACUGAUUUUAAGAAUUUCUACCUUCUGGAGAACCUUAAUGUCAUUUAUUUGAUGUUUUGGGAAACCAGGACUGUUACCUUGAAAAAAUUAGAGUGUUUAAAGCAGGCUUAUGUCUGAAUAUAUUAGCAUGGAAUAAUGAAAUAGGACGGCAUGGUUCUACUUUGUUGGUUUCUAGGAUCACCGUAAUGAUUAAUAGGGAUAGUUGGGGGCAUUAGUAUUCAAUUGUCAGAGGUGAAAUUCUUGGAUUUAUUGAAGACUAACUUCUGCGAGAGCAUUUGCCAAGGAUGUUUUCAUUAAUCAAGAACGAAAGUUAGGGGAUCGAAGACGAUCAGAUACCGUCGUAGUCUUAACCAUAAACUAUGCCGACUAGGAAUCGGACGAAGUUAAUUUUUUAAUGACUCGUUCGGCGCCUUACG